rnacentral:rRNA from 1 species
GACGAACCGUGCGAACGUUGUUCGGAAUCACUGGGCUUAAAGGGCGCGUAGGCGGCUUGCCAAGUCAGUGGUGAAAUCCUGCAGCUUAACUGCAGAAGUGCCUUUGAUACUGGCGAGCUCGAGGGAGGUAGGGGUAUGCGGAACUUCUGGUGGAGCGGUGAAAUGCGCAGAUAUCAGGAGGAACACCAAUUGCGAAGGCAGCUCGCUGGGACGUUACUGACGCUGAUGCGCGAAAGCGUGGGGAGCAAACAGG